AAGUCGUAACAAGGUUUCCGUAGGUGAACCUGCGGAAGGAUCAUUAACGAAUCGAAACUCUGUGGAGCUUGGUGGGGUUAUAACGCCCUUGGGUGUAUAACACCCCCCUUGCCCUAACAUUUACGCUUGUUGUGUAUGACUGAGUUAAUUAAUAUUAUGGCUUUGACAACUUUUAACAAUGGAUCUCUUGGCUCUU
rnacentral:misc_RNA from 1 species